rnacentral:lncRNA from 1 species
GGAGAAGAAACUUAUCUAUAGAUGCGUGGACGUCCUAGGCUCUAGGUACCACUUGAUGGAGACUUGCUAUGGACUGGAAGCAUGGAGAUCUGGUUCCAAACAGCAAGCAUUCCAUGAUGCAGUGAGGUGCAGCGGAAUUGGAUGUAGUUGAAUGGAAUUUGGUGUUUGGUGAUGGAAGGUGUGUGUAAUUGAUCCUCUCAGCUCAGAAGGCCCUCCUAUAAUGGAAGGAAGCUAGAGGAAAGGGUAGAGAAAGUGCAAAGAAGC